UCUCACGAAUCUUCAAUAUUAAAGGCCGAUUCCCAUCUAACCAGCAUCGAGCAGCGCGGCACAGAGCAGAGCAGCGCAGCACGAAGCAGUGUUUUCUGGCAUCAAUUCCCACCUAAGCAGCACAGAAUUUUCAGUUUAUGGUUUUUUUAUUCAGGUCGUCAAGAUAUCUUUAUCAGACGAUUUUAUAUUUCUUGCAGUUGCUUUAUGCGAUGAAUUUAUGAGGGCGAAUUCCAUACACUUUUCGGGCGUCUCCAGCAAGAUAAAUAGAAGUUCUAUAAGUACUAUCGAAUGUCCUCAGAAAAAGUUUAUAUACUAUUCAAUCUUUUGUGCAUUUCUUUGACGAAACAAAAUACUAAAUUUCGGCAGAGCAUCAGUCCACAAGAGAGGCUAACUAUUUUUCUAAGGUUUUUGGCAACAGGGGCAGACUACCAGACACCUUCUUUUAACUUUAGAAUAGAACACUCCACAAUACAUAAGAUUAUACGUCAUACCGCCAAUGUUAUUUGGGAGACUCUAGGAAAUAUUCUAAUGCCACAACCCACAACAGAGUUACUUCGGUAUUGUGCACACAAAUUUGAAAGUACUUGGAAUUUUCCUAAUUGUGUGGCUGCGAUAGAUGGCAAGCAUGUUACUAUACAAGCACCUCCCAGAAGUGGAUCCUUGUAUUUUAACUAUAAGAAAUCAUUCUCAGUAGUGUUAUUGGUGAUGGUAGACGCAGAAUACAGGUUCAUUGCCAUGGAUGUUGAAGCAUACGGUAAAAAUAGCGAUGGUGGGAUAUUUACUGAUUCGAAUAUGGGAAAAAGUCUUAAAAAUUGAACAUUUGGAAUGCCUAAAGAUCGACCAGUUAUUGUAAAGUGGGAACCUUUACCACAUGUAAUAGUGGGAGACGAAGCGUUCCCUUGUAAAACUUAUUUAAUGAGACCUUACUCAGGACGCGGAUUGUCACAAGAUAAAAGAAUUUUCAAUUAUCGCUUCUCCAUAGCUCGUAGAGUCUCUGAAAAUGUCUUUGGGAUUCUUUGUCAAAAGUUUAGAAUAUUCUUAAAUAUAAUACAGAUUCACCCAAAAAAUGCAGAAAAAAUAAUUUUAUCUAGUCUUUGUUUGCAUAACUUCCUUAGAAAUGAGAUUGUCUUCUUGACCGUACUAGAGCAAGAGAGAAUAGAAAAUGAAGCACCAGUUUUUACAAGUAUAUCUAACAUUGGUGGAAAAUGCGCCAAUGAAGCAAUCAAAAUUAGAAAUGCAUUUAAGGGAUAUUUUAACUCUGAUUCAGGGGCAGUUUCUUGGAAAGAAGAUGCAAUUAAUAUAGGAAAUGCUUAAAAAUGUUAAAUAACUAACUUUAAAGUUAUUUUAUAAUUGUAUGGUAAUAAAUAAAGUAAAUUACCCGUUA